rnacentral:rRNA from 1 species
GCAGCAGCCACGGUAAUACGUAGGUGGCAAGCGUUGUCCGGAAUUAUUGGGCGUAAAGGGCUCGCAGGCGGUUUCUUAAGUCUGAUGUGAAAGCCCCCGGCUCAACCGGGGAGGGUCAUUGGAAACUGGGAAACUUGAGUGCAGAAGAGGAGAGUGGAAUUCCACGUGUAGCGGUGAAAUGCAUAGAGAUGUGGAGGAACACCAGUGGCGAAGGCGACUCUCUGGUCUGUAACUGACGCUGAGGAACGAAAGCGUGGGGAGCGAACAGGAUUAGAUACCCCGGUAGUCCCUGUCUCUUAUAC